rnacentral:misc_RNA from 1 species
GUUUGAACCGAAUUCUGCUCAGCUCUAUAAAUAAGGCCUUAAAGAUUUUCUUUUGAAGCUCUGAACCAGAGCUGAUGCUUCAAAUUUGAUAGUUUUAACUUGAUUCAAUAGAUUUUCCUUUUAUAAAAAGUAGCUGAUAGUUUUAAAAAAGCAUCAUGUGUAUCAAAUCAUUUUCGAACCAAAAUUAAAGUUAUUAAAAACCAAAAUCGAAAUUGAAAACUUCUUCAAACUAAACUAAUUAGAAUCUAAAACCAACUAAAAUCAAUCUGAUUCAUUUUAAUUCCGAUUCUUUCUUU